ensembl:rRNA 5S_rRNA 5S ribosomal RNA
ACGUAUGGCCAUACCACCCUGAACAUGCCCUAUCUCGCCUGAUCUCGGAAGCUAAACAGGGCCAGGCCUGGUUAGUACUUGAACGGGAGGCCGCCUGGGAAUACUGGGUGCUGUAGGCU